AUUUAACAAAUUAUUAUUUGAAACUGAAGGUUUUUAUUGAAAGAUGAAUGUUACCAGGAGCUCCAUCCUUAUCGAAGCCACAUAAACCAUGAGGGACUGCAAAUGAUAAACAAAGGAUGAGCAUUUAAACUGAGAAUAGUUUCAAGUGAAAUUGCGCUCUUAGACUUUUCAGCAACUGUACUUCCAUCUAAUAAGUUCUAUCUACCUGUAAAAUCUACACAUCAUCCAGAUAGAUAUAAUCAAAGCGUGAGAUGCAAUUUCCUUCUUGCUUUCUGAAGAGAAAGGAUACAGGCUGAAGUAUAAUAUUUAAAAAGAAAGUAUAGAGUGCCCACCUGGUGUACUGAAAUUUUUCGUGCUUUUUCAACGGUAUUAAUGAUAGCAAUCAAUAAUGACACGAUACAAGCAACCUUACAACAUCAAUUUAAUAAUCAAGUUCCUGAUUAAGCGAACGCAACCGCUUAAUGGAACUAAAUAAAAAUAUUAAUAUUUAUAUCUGGACAUAUCAUCAAGAUCAUAGCUAAUGCGUGUACGCAGUGAACGUGUUAAUCAGUUCAAAGACCCGAUGGAAUUAGGAAAGAACGUGUUAUCUAGAGCAAGGAAAUGAAUUCAUUUUUCUUGCUGGUCAUCGAGCGUGAAAAAUACAUCAGCAAUCAACAGUUUACUACAUAGGGCAGAUUCGUUAAAUUUCCAAUUUUUGUAACUUGUUAAUUUUCUUCUUUUUUUACAUUGACCAAUUCUUGCAAAUGGAAUAGGACAUGGAAAAAUAUGUGAAAGUACAGUGUGAAUUCCAAUGUGUCCCCGUUUCGAAAGGUUCACCAAGAAGAUUUUUUGAAAGCAGAAAUGUUGAUGUUUACAUAGUUCUUGCUUAAUGUAAAUCAUUUUUUAAAUCAUGAAACGUAUACUUAAUUGAUUAUAAAAUAAAUGGAUAAUUAACAUUUCAAUAUAAACUUACAUCUUGGAGCAUCUUCUCCGCUGCUGCUGGAUCCCAUUUUCUGGCUAAAAAUAAUAAAUUGUUUUGAAUUAUUUUCCUCUUAAAA